UACAGAGGGGGCAAGCGUUGUUCGGAAUUACUGGGCGUAAAGGGCGCGUAGGCGGCCUGCUAAGUCGAACGUGAAAUCCCUGGGCUCAACCCAGGAACUGCGUCCGAUACUGGUUGGCUUGAAUCCGGGAGAGGGAUGUGGAAUUCCAGGUGUAGCGGUGAAAUGCGUAGAUAUCUGGAGGAACACCAAUUGCGAAGGCAGCUGGCUACACGAAUAUUGACACUGAUGCACGAAAGCGUGGGGAUCAAACAGG
rnacentral:rRNA from 1 species